AAGGCAAAGAUGCGCACCAAGUGCAUUAUUUUUUAAUUUUGAAUGAAGCUGGUGCUUGUGGGCUGAAGUGCAUUUCAAUUGCAAAUGUCUGUAAAUGUCUCUAGCUUACACAAGAGAAUGUGAUGUAAUGUAGCACAAGAGAUAAGGUACGGUCCCAUUACACUUCUGUCCUGCACAUUUUUACUCUCCCGUUCUCCCAUUCUUCCCAGUCUUCCAUUCACUUCAACUGAAACACGUACCAUGAAUGAAUUCAAGUGUGCAUUUCCUGUUUAUAUGCAAUCCUCAGGCCACCUCUGACAUACUUGCAGCUUUCUGACAAGUGUGGCAAUGUGAAAUUGCAAUGCAAGUUUUGGGUCCAGCCAGAUACCAAGUGGGAGGAAGUGGAGACACGUCGUCCAUCUUUAUAUACAGUCUAUGGCUGAAACCCAGACGCUAUUUCGGAAAGAGGAGGUGGUGGCAGGCGGGGGCCAGGAAAAAGCAACGGAUUAGAAGUGGGUGGGAAAGAUGAGUCUGAUGCAACUGAGCAACAAUAAAGAACGUCAGUUCUGCCAGCGAGCAUCACAUGCAGUGAUGUCCUCAGACCAUUACGAGAGCGCCCGCAGCGCUUCUUUAGCACUCACUAUCUAUCAUUCUCCCUCUCCCACUCCCGUCAGCCUCAGUGUGUACCCCUCGCCCCCCCUCCUCCCCUUGUCUUUCUGUCUCCCUCUGGCUCCAGCCUGGACACAGUGUUGUACAUGUAUGUGGACUGCCAUCAGCUCACAUUAAAUAAAUGUCCUCUUGGCUGAGCCUACAGGGAUUGGAGUUGGUACUGUGUGUGUGUGUGUUGUGAAUGC